UACAGAGGGGGCAAGCGUUAUUCGGAAUUAUUGGGCGUAAAGGGCGCGUAGGCGGCUUCGCAAGUGGAAGGUGAAAUCCCUCGGCUUAACCGAGGAACUGCCCUCCAAACUGCGUUGCUUGAGGCCGGGAGAGGUGAGUGGAAUUCCCAGUGUAGCGGUGAAAUGCGUAGAUAUUGGGAGGAACACCAGUGGCGAAGGCGGCUCACUGGACCAUAACUGACGCUGAGGCGCGAAAGCUAGGGGAGCAAACAGG
rnacentral:rRNA from 1 species